GCGGAGCCAUGACUCACCCGGCCGGCGGCCCUGGCCCGGCUGCGCAGAGUGCACGUGAGCGCGCGUCGCGCUUGUUUCUAAUUUUAGCUCCGGCGGCCCUGGUGGGGUCCGGCGAGAAAUACCACAUUGGCCUUGGUAAAUUGGAGAUUUUUCAGAUAUAAAUAUGGAAACUGCAAGAGUUUAGGGCAUUAUUCCUUAUUCGGUAUCCAUCUUAACAGUUUAAAAAGGACUAAUAGUUUACAAUCCAACAACUGAAUACAUCCAGAGUUCUGUACCAAGAACUAUGUAGAAAAUAAAGGUAAAGGAAGAAAACAUGGUCCGUGUUCUUGAAGACUUUAUAAUCAAGUUGGGAAGAAAUAAUGUACACAUGUGAAACUACUAGAAAAUUUCUUCUGGUAACAUUUAUUUAGAUCUUUCACGAACGUCACUUCAUUGUUUUCACCAGAGCCUGAGCUCCUCUAUGGCGUCACAGUGGAUGCAUUCACAAUCCAGACACAAUCUCUCCACAGGGAAGUCCAGCCAAAUAAGAGUGACUUGCUGUCUCCCAUACGUGACCCUUAGUUUCCACUUCCUUGGAAUUUUGUCUCCAUGCCUUUGUUCAAGCUCUUUCCUCUUCCUAAACGCUUCCUCUCCUGCUUUCACACGCAUAAUGUCUCUCUGAGAGGGAGAGCAAGGCAGGAUACUAACUCUUUCCUCGAGUAACCUCCGUCCCUUCUGAAUUCUUAGAAUUCUCACUUGGUAACACCAUUCUGCCGGCUUCAUAAUUAGUGCUGCAAGUUAUGUUAUAGUACAUCAACCCAGGUGCUCGGAAGAGGCAUACAGAGUGGGGCAAGACGUGGUCCCGGCCCUGAGGGGCUUUCUGCCAGCCUAGGGAGAAGAUACCAACACAGCCAAGUACCCACAAUAGAGAAAGGCCUUUAGACUAAGUGCUAGGGAGAGGAAGAGGGUCUGGGUUCGGCAGGGAGGCCUCCCAGAGGAGGUCAAGUGAACCAAAGAGGCCUUGAAAGGUGCCUGGGAUUCCAGCAGGUGGAGAGGGAGAGGAAGGGGCCCCAGCGAGGGAGGCAGGAGGGGUGAUGCUGCGCUGUAGUUUAGGGAGCGUGAACUGGUAAGGGCAGGGUUCCUGCUGGCUCAUCUUUGCCUCCCCAGAACAGUUCCUGGCCACAGGACACGUCUCUCCUGGCCCAUGCUGUCAGGUGAGAUGACCUUGAAGGUACAGGGAAUCCUGUGGCAAGGGGAUGAAGCCCAUCGGCCAUGGAGCCAGGACACCUGGGCACAAAUCUCCAGCUUCCUGAGUGACAUCAUAGAUGAUGGCACCAUCGACUAAAGCCUGGAAUAUAGAAAGAGGAACGGCCUGGUGGAGGUAGCAGGGGAGGCUGAAGAUAAUCGGAGUCCAGGACGGGGCCCACGCAUGCCGGGGGCGGACACCCCACGUGGCACUCAGUCUCCCAGGCAGACGGGGGUGCCUCAGAUCGAGUUUCUUCUCGGCAGGAAUUUGGGCCAGAUCCCACAGGCACGCAGACUUGGAAAAAAGGGAAGGGCCACAGCGUGAGGACUGACGUCCGUGCACCAUCCAUCGCCCAGGCAGCUGAGUCACCACCACGGUCUGUCCUGACGUUCCCUGAGAGACUGCUGGCUCUUCCGAGAAGGCGUGAUGGAGCUGGGGCUGUUCUGCUUCCUCCUCCUUGCUCCCCGGCCCUGUCCUUCUGGGGUGAACAGAGGGGCCACCACAUCCAAACCAGUCACCCUGGUUCUGCUGGGCGGAUACUGGUGGCCUCUGUGGCACCAAAGCACAGAAGCCAGCAACUCUCCAGAUGGUAGCCACUCCAUCAGCCUGGGUCCUGGAAUGAGGACAACUCAGACAGUCCCAAACCAACUCAAGGCGACCUUUUGGAGUAAACAAGAAAGAAACCGUUUGUUGUGUCAAGGCACUGAGAGGUUGGGGUUGUUUGUUAUUAUGGCAUAACCUCUCCGAUCCUGACAGACACCCAGGCACCGUCCGGGACCUCCUGAGUCUCAGUCAGCAUGGGAGCUCUAGCUGAGCCAUUUUCUCAAGUCCCACAGUCGUGAUCUUGGAGAUCAGCGAGGUUUGUGAACCCGCACUUCACUCCACACUGAUCCUGAGGCACAGCUGAACUGUAGUGGGUUGAGUGGUGACGCCCCCCCCCAAAACAUAUCCACAUCCUAACCCCUGGAACCUGUGAAUGUUACAUUAUUUCAAAAACGGGGCUUUGUAGACGUGAUAAAGAAUCUUGAAAGAGGAGAUCAUCCUGGAUUAUCCAAUAAGUACAAUGACAAGUGUCCUUCUAGGGGGAGGCAGAGGGAGAUUUAAGACAGACACAGAGGAGAAGGCCCUAUGAGACAGGCAGAGAUUGGAGGGACGUAGCCACAGCCAAGGAAUACCGACCACCACCAGCAGCUGGACAGGCAAGGAAUGAAUUCUCCCCUAGAACCCCAGAGAGGGUGUAGCCCUGAUGUCACCUUGAUUUCCAGAACUGUGAGAGAAUACAUUUUUGUUGUUUCAAGCCACCGAGUCUGUGGUACUUUGCUUCAGCUGCCAGUGGACGGACAGCGUCCACUAAUCCUCAGGGACCUCCCAGUCUCACAAGGGAAAUUGGGGCUGCACCAGAGAGAGCUGGGCAGCAGGGGCAAGGCAGCCAGAGCUGGGCUGACUGCUUGGGAAAUGAACUCUGGUGGAGGAGAAGUUUGAGCAGAGGUCUGGGGGGAUGUGCACUGGAGCUUAGUAGAGAAGGAGCGGGAGGGUGUUUCAGAAAGGGACAGGUAGGUGUGGACACCAGGAUGGGGGCCAGGCAGGUAUUCCAGCCACAGAAGAGCAGCAGAAUCUGUGCUGGGGAUGAAUGAAUGGAACAGGAGGGCUGGCAAACUUGGUCUUGAAACCCAAGCUGGCCUUCCUUCAUAUCAAUCUUUAUAAAGCCAGAAUGGUAAUUUGAAAAAUUGUGCUUUCAAAAUAAGCCAAAAUAGUUAAAUUCAAAAUUGUAUCUAUGCCCUGACCACUACACAUAUAUAUAUGUGUAUAUAGAUAUACACACAUAUAUAUACAUAUAUAUGUGCAUAUAUACAUACAGACAGACCAAAACAUAAGAAAAUCAUGGGAUAGACUUAGGAAUUUUUUUCCUUCAUUUUUUAACUUGUUACUGAAGUUGCAACACUUUAAUAAACAAAAGAAUCCCAAAAUAAGAAGUUCUGGGUUAAUAUGAAAUUAAUAAUGAACUACUGAGCGUUCUCGAGGAAGGGUGGGGUGGGUGAUCAAAAUAAUGGUUAAGGAAGGUAGUCGGGUCAGUCCUGUGCAUAAAGGAGAGGAGACGGAGCGGCAGAGGCCAGGAGACCUACAAAGGGGCCGUGCAACAUUCCAGGAGUGAGGUGUAGCGAGGCCCAACUAGGGAUGUGUGUGAGGACGGAGCAGUGUCGGAGCAGCGCUCACAGCCUCCGGUAGCUGCCAGGCCAGACGCUCGCUACACUCGACUGCCCUCUAGUGGCCAAAUCCGGGAAGCCAGCCACGCCUUUCAAAGCUACCUCCUGGGGAUAGAGCAUUGCGGGAACGUGAAGAAGGAGCUCCGGGCUUUCUGGUGUCAGAGAAGGCUUCCCAGAGGACACGAUGCUUCCUUCCACUGAGCAUGGGCUCUUCGUUGCCAUAUGGCGUCUCUGGGGGUUUCACACUAGCCACCCCUUAUACCCCACAUAAUAGGAGCUGCUCUCUGCUUUAUACUGCCCGUCGCUGGCUGGAGUUGGAGCCUAAUUUGUGUGGCCAGAUGAGGAAAUCAAGGCCCAGAGAGGCAGAGGGACUCACCCACAGUCACACAGCUGAGGUGACAGAACCAGAACUGGGAGGCUGGCUCCUGAGUCUGUGCUCUUAACCACUUGCCAUUUGACCCUCUUUGUGCUGGUUGCACAACGAUGCCCAGAACCACAUUGAGGAGUGUUUUGCCUUUAACCAUCUUCUAUCCUGUUCACCACCCUUGUUCAACCUGUUUCCCACUCCCUGAAGGGUAUUUAAUGGCUAAAUGAAUCCCAAUCAAAUAUUAACUAGAAGAGAGGCACCUGAGCCUUCUCCCCCGGAACCUUCCCUUUCUGCUCAGAGUCCCAGUGUUUGUCACAGCAUCUGUGUUUGCAGAAGGUUCAUGGGUGCAGACAUCCCUGCAGGACGGAUGGGAGGACACAGCCUCUGGUCUGGGGAAAUUUAUGUCUAAAGGGAGCCGAGACGGAUGAACUAUUCCGUUUGCUCCUUUUGCUCUCUAUCAAGCACAGUCAGCUAGUGUUUUUUAAACUGUGAGUCGCCACACAUCAGUGAAUCAUGACAACCUUUUAGUGCGUCUCAAAUCACAUUUUAUUUACAAGAAACUAAUUAAAAUUUAAAAUAUCAUGUGCAUUUUAUGUAGCAUGGUUAAGAAUUGUUUUAGGGGGCUUCCCUGGUGGCACAGUGGUUGAGAGUCUGCCUGCCGAUGCAGGGGACACGGGUUCGUGCCCCGGUCCGGGAAGAUCCCACAUGCCGCGGAGCGGCUAGGAUGUGAGCCAUGGCCGCUGAGCCUGCACGUCCGGAGCCUGUGCUCCACAAUGGGAGAGGCCACAGCGGUGAGAGGCCCGUGUACCGCAAAAAAAAAAAAAAGAAUCGUUUUAGGAAAUUUUAUUUUAGCUGUGUGCACCUGCAUGUGUGUGUGUGCACACGCACACUUGGCUACGAUAUAAAAUAUAUUUCUUACUGUGAGUCCAGUCAAAAAAGUUAAAGAGCCGCAUAGCUAAAUGUUUUUCUCCUCUGCUUUCACAAUACUUGUUUACAGGAGCUUUACAACCCAUGUUUUUUUUUUUUGCUCGAGUUAAUCUGAAAGUGAGUUUCUAUCAGCCAGUCUACACUGGCCAUGAUGGAACAGAGGGGUGAGGGGUGCUAAGACAGCACACGGAGGGAAGCUGUUGGCCACAGAGCCGGGGUUCCACUCCUCGGCCACCAAAUGCACCACCCAGAUGAUGACCCAGCGCGUCACCUGCUUAACUGAAGUCACCUGUGCUUCAUUAAAACCUUGAGGCCUGUGAGCAAGUUAAAUUGUUUGAAUUAACACAGCUUGUUGGAGCCAAACUUAAGCUAUAUUUUCAUAGGGCAUAUUUGUCGUUAAAAUCCUACUGUAAUAUUUAUAUUCAAAAAAUCCAGUUAAUGAAUUUGUCGUUUAUUCUUCCCUGCUUCGAAUCAACCAGUCCUGGCAUAUUUAUAGGACUUCCUCCUCGCAUCCCAGGCACAGACCCUCGGCUGUGUGGUGUGCACGG